rnacentral:rRNA from 1 species
GGGGGGGGGGGGGGGGGGGGGGGGGGGGGGGGGGGGGGGCGGGGGGGGGGGGGGUGGGGGGGGGGCUCGGGUGGCGGGCGAGUGGUUGGCACGUGGGUCAGCUGGCCUUGGCGUUGGGAUCGCUGCCGGGCACGGAGGCGCGUGGCGGCUAGUCGCUCGUGAGGCCUGGUGUGGUUUGGCCCUGUUCGGCGGUUGGGGAUGGAGUCGGGGCUUAUCAGGUUACUGGUGGGGUAGGGGCUUACCAGGGCUUUGACGGUUCGCCGGCCUGAGAGGGUGACCGGCCAAAUUGGGACUGAGAUACGGCCCAGACUCCUACGGGAGGCAGCAGUGGGGAAUAUUGCACAAUGGGCGGAAGCCUGAUGCAGCAACGCCGCGUGCGGGAUGACGGCCUUCGGGUUGUAAACCGCUUUCGCCUGUGACGAAGCGUGAGUGACGGUAAUGGGUAAAGAAGCACCGGCUAACUACGUG